GGGCUGCCAUGUUCCAGGGCGGGCGAAAAACACUUGCAAUGUUUUUGUGCAGGGUUCGAUUCCCUGGCGGUCCA
rnacentral:tRNA from 1 species